GAUAUUGUGAUGAUAAAUACCGCCCCAGUCUGAUAGUCUGAUGAUGGUAAUCUCUGAAGUACA
rnacentral:snoRNA from 1 species